CUGCCAUCUCUUUUUACGAGCCACUCCAAUCUCUGUUUAUAAUUAAUUAUUACAGAACAAUGAUCGAAUAAAUUACACAAAUAAAAAAGAAAUUAAACUAUUGGGAGCUUUAAGUUGGCCUGAAGCCAAUCCCCCAGGCUUUCAGCAGUCUCAAAUGCCAAGGAUUUCAUAGCCAAUUUCAUGUCCACAUGUGCUAGAGUUCCCUAAGGACCUCAAGGAUCCUGGGAAGUGCUCACACCUAGACUUUUCACAACAUGGAUUGAGUAAGUGCGGUGCGGAAUAGCCAGCCCAAGUGUGUCAGGGUUCAAAGAGAUCUUAAGACGAUCCCAAGGCAGUAUACGCACUGGAAAGGCAGAACCUAGGGACUUAAGAGUAGAGUGAGAGUUCUUGAAAUAGUUUUGAAUUUUUUUUACAAUAGUACCAAAUGACUCUAUUAGUAAAGAGGUUUUUCUGUAAAAUAGGAGUGAUUUAGAAGCAAAAUAGUUUGAACCAGACAAACACUUUUGAAAAAAAUCAGCAAGCAGCCUGAUUGGUUAUAGGACAAACAGGUUUAGCACCAUUCAACAUUUAUUUUUUACACAGAGAUAGUUGGGGUUUGGGGACAUAUAGAAUACACAUUAGUGUGUGGUAGCAGCACAUAAACAACAAGUUGCACAGAAGUUUUCAAGAAUUUUAUAGGAUUAGAAGUUAUUCAUAAGAAUGGGCGGAAGAGACAUAGAGAAAAGAUCACAAACAUCCAUUUAGAAAAAAAAAACAUAUUAACACUGGACAUAUUGGCACACAGUCAAAGUUACAUUGAGAUACUAGACAACUUAGUAAAGCAGAUUAAGUAAGAACCUAAGUGAAAAACUUAGAUAAACAUCAUGAGUAUUCCUAGUUCAAACAUGCUGGCAUACUUAACAAGUACAUUUAAAUAUGCUGGAUAAAGCAGUAGGCAGAAUUAGACAUACUAAUAAAUACGUUUUAAUAGAAAUCAAAUUCAGACAUGCUGGGUGAAACAAUAAUCAGGUAGUGAAUUUUAGACAUACUAGUUACAUAUUGAACUACGUGAUGGUAAACAAGAAAUAUGAUUAGGAGUCAUAACUAAUGAACUAGAACAACAAAAAAUGCAUAGAGUUUGUACUUUGAAAUUGAAUCAUGACAUACCAGUUAAGGAGAAAAACACUGAGUAUAGAGCAGAUGUGGUGCAAUAGCUAGCUUUGGAUUACAGCCGGCUGGGUUAGUGAAAAUUGCAAGUAACAAAGAAAAAAACAGAGAGAGCUUUUAAGUAUAAGAGAGUUUUUAGAACUAGUGUUUGUGUGUAGAAGUGAGAAUAGAUGAGAGUAUAAAUAGUAUUCAAGAGUUAAACAUAAUAAGGUAAAGAAUCAAUUAUGUAGAAAUUAGAAAAAUUUACAAAAUCAGUCAUACAUAAAAUCAGUGAAGUCUCCCCUAACCAAGGGGUAAUCAACCAAUGGUAAAGAGCAAGAUAUAUAUUUAAAAGGAAGGAAUAUCAAACAGAGACUUAGGUACAUAAUAGGAAAUUAGGAGUAAAUAAAUAGGAGUUUAAUUAAGGAAACAAUUAGUGAAGAAUCUAUAAGUGUCACAACUAAUCAAAAUAAGGUAUGAAAAUAAUUAAAAGGUUGUAAAAAAUAAUCGAGAAAUCAGCACAAAAAUAUAAAUAUAGCAAAUUAGUGAAUCAAAGACUCGGAAAAAAUAAUAUUGACUAAAGGAGAAUUAAUAGGUUUCCAUGAAUAAACAGAUAAGCCAAGUAUAAAUACAUAAUUAAGCAAAAAUCGAAUCAGGAACCUUAAUAGAGGCACAUUAGGGUAAAAUCACAAGACAUUCAAAUUAAAUGAAUGAGAAACCAUGCCAAUCAAAGCAAAUAACAAAAUCAUAUCGCAAGUAACAUGUGCAAGCUUAGAAUCCAAGAAAAAAUGUCAAAAAAUUGCGGUUUUGGCAUAAACUAGUUUGGGUUGAGGCAAACUCAACUAUAAUUGGUCAAAAACACAAAAGAAUAGAAGAUGAAACAUUUAAAACUAGAAAACGUUUUGAGGAAAAAGAUUUACAGGAAACCCUAGUUUAGAAAAUUGAAAAGCCACUCGAAAAUUAGAAGAUUUUCGCAAAAAUCAUGAGAAAUAAGUUCAAACCAUCUCAGAUCUUGUACAGAUAUGAGAAGUUCAAAGGACAAAAUGAGGAUUUUACUAGGCCUACAAAUCCAUAGGCUAAAGGCGAAAUAGGAAGAUCUUACUCGAAAUCGAGUCAGAAUAGCCUGAAAUAGGCAAGAAAAGGCCAAAGGCGUAAGAGAACUAACCUUGGUCCCUCGAAGACCUUAGAGACAGCGGUAACCAGCAUAGGACAGACCACUAGAGGCCUGGGUGUGGUGAGAAACCACCAUGGAUGGCACUGGAUGAGUGACAGCAAGGGAGAGUUAGGGUUAGGAUUAGAGAGCAUCUGAGAGAGAAAUGGAGGGGGUGAUUGCGAGGUGAGAAGAGAGAAUAAG
rnacentral:lncRNA from 1 species